rnacentral:misc_RNA from 1 species
GUGAGUCAUCGAAUCUUUGAACGCAUAUUGCACUCUCUGGUAUUCCGGAGAGUAUGCCUGUUUGAGGGUCAGUAAAAAUAAAAAUCUAUCAUGAAUCCUUUUUUUAAUUUAUUUUAUUAAAUCGGAACAUGGAAUUGGAUUUUCAUUAUUUUUGAUGAUCUUAAAUUUAUGUUAUAUGGCUAUAUAUAAACUGAACCAAAAAGAGCAAUUAUUUAUAAUUAAUCUCAUUUAGUGAUGUUUUAUUAAGCCAAAUAUGGUUUAUUUUGAUAUUUUAAUAUCAAAUAAUCAUAAACAUAUUUU